UGAGUCUUUGUAGUAAUACAAGGCAUACUGCUCAGUAACACGUACUCAAUCUAACCUAUGGACAGGGAUAAUCUCGGGAAACUGAGCAUAAUACCUGAUAGAUCAUUAUGCCUGGAAUGGCUUAUGGUUGAAAUGAUUCGUUCGCCAUAGGAUGGGACUGCGGCCUAUCACGUUUGNUGGUGAGGUAAUGGCCCACCAAGACUAUUACAGGUACGGGCUCUGAGAGGAGAAGCCCGGAGAUGGGUACUGAGACACGGACCCAGGCCCUAUGGGGCGCAGCAGGCGAGAAAACUUUGCAAUGUGCGAAAGCACGACAAGGUUAAUCCGAGUGAUUCCUGCUAAAGGAAUCUUUUGUUAGUCGUAAAACCCUAUCGAAUAGGAGUGGGCAAGUUCUGGUGUCAGCCGCCGCGGUAAACCAGCACCUCAAGUGUCAGGAUAUUAUUGGGCCUAAGCAUC
rnacentral:rRNA from 1 species